UGAUCUUUGAUGAUGACUAUAGGUACU
rnacentral:sRNA from 1 species